GAUGAACGCUGGCGGCGUGCCUAAUACAUGCAAGUCGAGCGAACGGACGAGAAGCUUGCUUUUCUGAUGUUAGCGGCGGACGGGUGAGUAACACGUGGAUAACCUACCUAUAAGACUGGGAUAACUUCGGGAAACCGGAGCUAAUACCGGAUAAUAUUUUGAACCGCAUGGUUCAAAAGUGAAAGACGGUCUUGCUGUCACUUAUAGAUGGAUCCGCGCUGCAUUAGCUAGUUGGUAAGGUAACGGCUUUCCAAGGCAACGAUGCAUAGCCGACCUGAGAGGGUGAUCGGCCACACUGGAACUGCGACACGGUCCAGACUCCUACGGGAGGCAGCAGUAGGGAAUCUUCCGCAAUGGGCGAAAGCCUGACGGAGCAACGCCGCGUGAGUGAUGAAGGUCUUCGGAUCGUAAAACUCUGUUAUUAGGGAAGAACAUAUGUGUAAGUAACUGUGCACAUCUUGACGGUACCUAAUCAGAAAGCCACGGCUAACUACGUG
rnacentral:rRNA from 1 species